UCUCAGAAACCCCUUAUGUGAUGAACCAUAUGAAAAACAUUGGUUUAAAUCAAUUAACUGUGAAAUAAACUUAUCUAAUAUUGACUCUUAUCAAUUGGUAUUUUCUAUAGGUGGCAUGAUGGGACAGUCCCAUCAAAGUUCCAUCAUGUUUGAAGUGGGCUCCUCCUAGAGACAUGUUCGUUUUAUGAUAUUCAAGGACCUAGUGUUUGGCUGCGGUGAAGUUUUGGUUGGUAAGGUCCUCCUACGACUCAUGUGAAUCAGUUGCACAAUGAUUUUAUUGUUCGAAUUUCAUCUUUUGCUUGAGUGCUUGAGUGCUUCAAUGUUUGAAUUAGAUAUUUCAAAUUGUAUGUGAAUUGUAGUCCAUUAGGGAAAAUUUUAUUAAAAUGUAAUGGAUGCCUUUUGGGUAAUAAUGCAUAUCAAGACCUUUGAAUCUGUUGAUUCAGAUGUUUGAACACGGUUGAAACUCA